rnacentral:rRNA from 1 species
UGAGGAAUAUUGGUCAAUGGGCGCGAGCCUGAACCAGCCAAGUAGCGUGAAGGAUGACUGCCCUAUGGGUUGUAAACUUCUUUUAUAAGGGAAUAAAGUGAGGCACGUGUGCCUUAUUGUAUGUACCUUACGAAUAAGCAUCGGCUAACUCC